UCAACUCAUCAAAUUUUUCCAACAACUGAACAUGCUUUUGACGGAACUCUUGGAUUCGUAUUGUAGCUUUUUUUUUUUUAGCGGGAACCAAUUCCCUUUGGACCAUACUAUCGUAGUCAUCAAUGGAUCUGGAUAAUGACAGAAAUGAAGCUGAGAUCUGGCCUAAAUUGAUUUGCAUUAGUCUCAUGAAUAACUUGGUUAAAAUAAGUACCAUAAUUAUUCAUCUACACAUACCCUGAAUUCCAGCUAACGAUAUAGUGUUGCUCUCAUCUUGAACACCACGUUCUAACUCAUCGAGGCUUCGCUGAAUGGACUGAAACAACUUUGUACACUAGCGAAAU